AGAGAGUGAGACAGAGCGGCGAAGGCCCACUCCUUCUUCACCCACCUACACCAGCGACGCCGGAAGCUGCUCUCGAUGGUAGGGGCGCAAGGAAUGCUGGGAUGUCGGAGGACUCGUCUGUGCGGGUCGCGUGCUAAGUGGAGGUAGGUUCUCCUCGGGAGGAGCGCACGGCUGUAGUUUGUGAAGCGCGGCCGCGGCUGGACCGAGCUCCUUUUUUGUCCCACGCGUUGGGCGUUUCCCGGGCAGAUGUGCCGGCUUUGGUUCAAGUUGAAUGCCUGUUCUUGCGGUGUGGCCAGGUCCAGCCCGCAAGAGAGGGGCGUCUCUGCUGGAACCGAAAAGUUUUAUAUUCGCGUUCACGGCGAGGCUGUCCAGGCACUUAAAGAGAUGAACCUGCAAAAGAGACUUAAGAGGCAGUUAGGACGGGUUUACUACUAUAGAAGGCAAGGGAAGACCGCGUCUCCAGACGGAGGGAGUGAUUAACUGCAGAGCUGCUAGGAGGUCAAGUAAGAGGACUGAAAAGUGUCAGUUGUAUAUCGUAACAUGAAAGUCAUUGGUGACUUUAGCAAGAGCUACUUAGGUAAAGAGAUGGAAGACGGACUCGAGAGUUGAGGAACGAGAAGGAGGUGAGGAAAUAAUCUCCUCAUCCUUCAAAUUCCCGUUUAAAUGCCACUACCUCCGAGACUCCUUACUAAACAAUCUAAAUCAGUCUCUGCUUUAACAACCUCUUGUUGAACUCUUAACCUUUUUUCAUGGCAGUUGAAGUAAUGCAAUGUGUUUGGUAAAUAGUUACGUCUGUCUCCCCAAAUACCUUGAGCUCCGUAAAGACAGGAACCCUGCAUACUUUGUACUCUGUCACCAACACCCUAGAGCAUAGUCUAGCUCAGGAAAUAUUCAUUAUAUAAAUAGCACUUUAAAAGCUCCAACUCCUUUAUUACCUCAUUUUAUCCACUUUUGAGUUGAGGAAAUUAGUUUUGUGAACUUGCAUCCGGUCAUACGGCAAGUGAAUAGCAGAACCUAAACCCAGGUCAUCAGGCAUCAAAAGUUUAGUAAUUCUGUGUUCUGCCUUCCCAUUGAAAUUUCAAAUACGUAAAUAUUUAUUGAUUGUAGACUUGAAGUAAUUUUUCUUGAUGGAAGAUAAAAUGAAUGGCACAAAUCUGUACCCUCAAGAAACUUUAGCAUUCAGUGAGAUAGAGUUGUAAAUAAAUAUGAAUAAAAUAAGGUGCUAAUACUUUCCUUAAGUCAUAUAUUAAUUUUUUUCUAUUCCAAGCUAGUCUGUCACAGAGCUGAGGAAUUUUAGAGGAGUCUAAAAGAUCUUCAGACUAGGGGCAAGCAUGUGGCUCAUCAAGCUCAGGAGAAAUCAAAGCUCUCAUCCUUUCGAGUUACUGCCAGAAUCUUUUGAACACCCUUAUAGGUAAGAUCUGCCACAUCAAAAAUGCCUUCAAAGUUUGUUGUAAAUCUUCCCAGUUCCUCUCUAAAUUCUGGGAACACUUGGACUAUGGCUACUACCUCAAACCCUGUCCAGGAGAUAGAGGGUCCUGGAGGACAGAAACAGAAUGGUAGGGUUAAUAAAUGAAUUUUCACAAAGGAGUGCUGGAGGUAUAUAGGUUAAUCAACAGAAUUAUCAUUGUCAAAAUAAAAUUUGUUCAGUAAAAAAAAAUACUAAAAUGCAAUGAUAAAACAAAAUAUAGUUUGUUGCAAAGGGAUGGUACUCUACUUCCCCUUUAUUUCUUGAAAAGAGGCAAGAAAAUAAAACUUUAAGGUAGUAGUAUAAAAACAAUACAUAUCUUAACAGUAUGGUAAUGGAUAUUUACUGGAUAAUUAUUUUCCAGGACAUUCCAGAUUUUGAGGUAACUAAGUAAGUACUUAAAAUAACAGCCCAUGACACUCCUUAUUUUCAUCAUUUUUCUUCAUUUUGUUUUCUCUACAGGAGGAAAUUGAAUAGGAC
ensembl:lncRNA